UGGGUAACCUGCCCCGAUGACUGGGACAACCCGGGGAAACCCGGGGCUAAUACCGGAUGUGGUCCCCUCACAUCAGUGAGAUGACUAAAGGAAGCUUCGGCCUCCGCAUCGGGAUGGGCCCGCGGCCCAUUAGCUUGUUGGUGAGGUAACGGCUCACCAAGGCGACGACGGGUAGCCGGCCCGAGAGGGUGACCGGCCACACUGGGACUGAGACACGGCCCAGACUCCUACGGGAGGCAG
rnacentral:rRNA from 1 species